rnacentral:rRNA from 1 species
GUGCCAGCAGCCGCGGUAAUACAUGUGGGGCAAGCGUUGUUCGGAAUUACUGGGCAUAAAGGGUGCGUAGGCGGUUUGUUAAGUCACAGGUGAAAGUUUUCGGCCCAACCGGAAAAUUGCCUGCGAUACUGGCGAACUUGAGUGCGUGAGGGGUUGGGGGAACGAGCAGUGUAGCGGUGAAAUGCGUAGAUAUUGCUCGGAAGGCCGGAGCCGAAGGGGCCCAACUGGUGCGCGACUGACGCUGAUGCACGAAAGCGUGGGGAGCAAACAGGAUUAGAUACCCUAGUAGUCC